AUGUUCCAUGAGCAGAACCUUGGAAGGGUACAUGACAAGGAGAAGUUUGAGAAGGAGUUGGCCAGGCUUAAGAGUGAACAUGAAAGGGAGUUGGCCAAGUUUAGGACUGAAAAUGACAAGCUUUGCAUUGAGUACACCAAGCUUGUUGAUGAUGUAUCCAAGAUGUUUGAUUGGCAGGAUGGUAGGGUGGACAAGCAGGUGUACCAGAAACAAGUGGAGGAGGAAGAACUUGAGAAGAAGAAGAAGGAGCUAGAGGAGAAAGCCAUGUUGGAGGUGCAGAUGGAAAAGCUCAAACUUGCAAAAGAGCAGAGGUGCAUUUUGCGGAGCCAAGCUGAUAUCAUCAAGAACACCAGGAAGGCUAUGAAGGAUGUUGAAGUUGACAGAGAUGUUCUUAAGAAGGAGAAGGCAAAGCUUGAGCUUGUUGUUGCUGAGCUGCUGAAAGAAGGGUAUGGCAGCCAGGAGAAGUUAGAGAAAAUCAAGGCCAUCCUUGAGUCUUGA
rnacentral:rRNA from 1 species